GAUCCUGGCUCGGGACGAACGCUGGCAGCGCGCCUAACACAUGCAAGUCGAACGAGCGAGAGAGAGCUUGCUUUCUCGAGCGAGUGGCGAACGGGUGAGUAACGCGUGAGGAACCUGCCUCAAAGAGGGGGACAACAGUUGGAAACGACUGCUAAUACCGCAUAAGCCCACGGCUCGGCAUCGAGCAGAGGGGAAAGGAGCAAUCCGCUUUGAGAUGGCCUCGCGUCCGAUUAG
rnacentral:rRNA from 1 species